UGAUUCCACUAUGGUUUUUUU
ensembl:piRNA 21ur-10352 ncRNA